GGAGGGGUGGCAGAAUUGGCUAAUGCGCCGGUCUUGAAAACCGGUGGCCCUUUGUGGCCUUGUGGGUUCGAGUCCCACCCCCUCCGCAA
rnacentral:tRNA from 1 species